rnacentral:misc_RNA from 1 species
AACGCAUCUUGCACUCUCGAAUCACUAUCGAGAGUAUGCCUGUUUGAGUGUCGCGAAACUCUCAACCCCGCCUCAUGCUUUAUUGCGUGUGGGUAGCUUGGGCUUGGAUCAUGAUCUUUGCAGUGUUGCAUUAGCAAACUGCUGGAUUGAAAUACGACAAGCUGAAUCUAUAUACUUGCGGCUUGACCUGUCGUUGUAAGCACACAAAUGCAUUCGAUGGGGACGCGAGAAAAUGGAAUGAGCUUUCCAAAUGUGUUACACUUUGCAGCUUCUAUUAACUUAGAGCUCUUAGUGCAUUCUGACCCUCAAAUCAGGUAGGAUUACCCGCUGAACUUAA